GGGAGAGAAAAGAAAAGUAGAGAUGUUUUUAGCCCUGGGUUAAAGGACCACAGACGUCAGGGAAUGUCGCUCAUGGGUAUCCUAUUUCAUCUACGUGACGUGGGCCCCUCACGCUCUGAUGCAGAGAGAAGAGGGAAAGGAGGGAAGAGACCCAGGGUGGUCCUUCCUACUCAAAGAUGCUCAAUUUGGGAAAUCUUGGUUUGACGCCUUUGGAACCAACGUCAGGCCAAACCUUAUGGCUCCAGCUUCUUCUUGAAAGGGGGCACUCUGAGGACGACAGCACGCCAAGGGAGUGGGUGCCGGGCAGAGUGAGGGAGGGGACAGCGUCACAGAUGGAGACUGAGUUCUGGGGCUGGCCCUGACCCUCAGCACCGCAGGGGAAUCCCCUUGUGAGGGAGUCGGGCCCGUUCCAGCUAAGGGGACAUCUCUGGCUCUGCUGGGCGACGUGGCUAAGCUGGGGUGGUCCACAGGUCCCCCGAGUCUCAGUCAGAAGUGCUAUGACAGGUCCAGUGCAAAGGCUGCUCCCGCCCCAGGCGACUGGUCAGGACGCUCGGAGCGCUCGUCCUGGGCAAUGGAGAGCUGUGCCUGUGGAGCUGUCCCUCGGCCGUGCCCAGAGCCAGGCGAAGGCUCUCAAAAGCAAAGCGGGGCACCGGCAUUGCAGAACUGUGUGUGCUUCUCCCCGACAGUUCCUGCCUCUUGCCAAGCCGUGCCACCCACAGGCGGGGAAGCUGAUGGGGCCCAGGCCUCCUGGGCCCGGCUGGCGCUCCAGUGUGGCCAGAGAGCUGCCCACAACAUGAAGGGCAGAGCGUCCGGGCGCCGUGGGGAGCCGGCCCCAGUCUCCGUCUCUCCUCUGCCCUCUCUCUGAGAGACACUAUAGAUUCACGCUGUCCAACACGGCAGCCGCUACUCCCGUGAGAGUACUCACAUCUAAAACUUACACCAAAAUUAAAUCAAAUUUAAAAUUCACUUCCUCAGCGACACUAGCCACAUUUCAAGCCUCAAUAGCCACUCGUGGGUAGCGGCCACCACAUCGGACAGCGCAGAUCUAAACCACGCCCGUCAUCACAGGCUGCUCUAUCAGACGGCACCCGUGUGGCCUCUGUGGUCACACUGACCUGCGUUUGGUUCCCACCUCUGCCGCUUACUUGCUGUGUGCCUUUGGGCAAGUUAGUUCACCUCUCUCUGCCUUCGUUUCCUCACUGCUAAAGCGCUCAGCCAGUGUCGGGCAUGUGGUGAAUACCAACCAACAGUCGUGAACACCACGACCCAACUCUGCCACCCACCGAGGGCUCAGGUGCCUCCAGCCUCGAGCCACCCAUUUAGUCAUCCAGCCACGCCUCAUUCCACCAACGUGCACGGAGUCCCCACCAUACAGCAGGCCCUGUGCCAGGUGACGGGGCUGCAAACCCCAGCCAAGUAGGACCCCUGCCCUCCAAAAGCCCUGUCAGAUGGGGACAACGACAAGAGAGUGGACAAUUACAAGCCUGAGUGACAAGUGCUAGGCGGGGCUGGGCCUUGAGUGUCACAGGCCCUCCUCAGACUAACCCACUUGGGCUUUUGACUCUGAUGUCGUCGGAUUCAGUCCCAACAUCAGGCCAUGCGAUCCUGCCCUCAAUUAUGGACCAUCACCUCCUCGUCUCAGCCUGCUCGUUCAUGUGGCUGGUCUCCCCACGGGGCUGGGCUUCCCUCAUGGCUCCCAACUACCCGUCCUUGUCACAUGCACACAACACCAGCUUAGGUCCAUUUUCUAUGCAGCAAUGGCACCCCAGUGGCCCCCCCGGGAGGACUGACAAGGAGCGUGAGACAGCCCUAAUGCAGGAGGGAAAGAGGACGGGCCCAGAAGACAGAGUGGCUGUGCAUUUCAGGACCUGCCCUGCCCAUGUGUCCCACUAGCCCGGGUCUCCUCCGGCUCCCCGCGUCCUCUCCAGCCCUCACUCGGGUCACUGGCUCGUCUAGAAGGCUCUAUGUCUGUGUGCAGGUGUGUGGUGUGAAUUCCGCCUCCCUAUCAGACUUGAAGCUCCUUCAAGAGAAGCAGGGAGACAUCCUAUGGGAAGCAACCUCCUCACAAGAAAGAAGUGGGCCCCUUCCCCAGACCCGGCAACCCCAGGCUCCUCCAGGGCCCAGGAGAGGGGCCGGGUGGAGUGGGGAGCAGGGGUCCAGGUGGGAAGGCCCGGGACAGCCCCAGGGCAGGAGGUGGGCUCUGAUCUGUGUGCUGACCGCAGCCCUGAGCGCUGUUUGUCCAGCUGAAGCUCCUGAUCCUGCUGCCUUUAUGUCACUGGAUAAAGAGGCAGGCAGGGUGUGUCUGGGGCGGAAACCCGAGAAAGGGCCCUCUAUUCGGUCACCCCCACACCCACGUCCAGAUGUAAGCUCUCCUCCUGCUUCAGGCUGCCCUCCUCCUCGUGCCAUCCCAGCAACUCCUCUCACCACCACUGACACACAUGGAGGGACCCCCACUCGCCACCCACGCCCACCCCGGCUAGGGCAGCACCAGGACCCCCAGACACAUGGCUUUCUAAAUUGCACCGGGUCCCAGUCUCAACUGGAGUCUAGUGGGAAAGAGCAGAGGCUGGGAGUUCAGAGCACGUAAUAAGAGCCACCUUUGCCAGGGCAGACACUGCUGAAGGCUUUGCAGACCCAGCUUACAGGAGAGGCUCAGCAAAACUAAGGUCCCUCUGAAGCCAACGUCCCAGGGGGUGUCCAACCCAUCUCUCUGCCCCCCGUUCGCCUCCUUUGGAGUGCCUUCUACCGUUAUCGAGAUCUGGGGCAUCCUGGUCUCUUUUAAUCUUUUUAUCAGGUCGGGGAAUGAAGGGUUAUUUAUUUCCAUUUUAAGUAAAGAAACUGGGACUCGCAAACAUGCUACCUCACAUCCCAACCUCCCCCGGGCGGGUUCUGUUGAAACAGCCGCACAACAAACGAAACAGUAGCUCCAACCCCGGACCCCGCAGUACCCUUGUGUGCAGAGCCGCUCUGAACCCUGGAGGAGGUGUGUGUGCCUCGUACAGGAGGAAGGCAGGAGGAGCCAUGCCCUGCCCUGAGGAAGCCGCCAUCCAGGAUCCAGCAGAACCACAGACAUGGUUGGACAGAGCCUUGAGCCUUUGUGCUGGAGGACUUUCAAGUGCCUCAGGGCCAGGAUACAGUCCGGAGGGCUUCCUGGAGGAAGCCUGGCCUGCAGUGCCAAGAGGGACAGGUUUAGCCAUCUGGAAGUGGCCUUUGCAAAGAGGAAUGGAGCUGGGGUGCUUAGGAUGGCAGUGAGGAAUGGCGUAAUAGGCCAAAUGGUGGCCCCCAAAAGCCAUGUCCCUGGAACCUGGUAACACGAGCUUACUUGGGAAAAGGGUCUCAGCUGUGAUUAAGUGAAAGAUCUUGAAAUGAGGAGAGCAUCUUGGAUUAUUCAGGCAGGCCCUAAAUCCCAUGACAGGUGUCCUUAUGAGAGAGCCACCUGGAGAAGAUGGUGACAUGGAGACGAAGGCAGAGAUUGGAGUGACGCGGCCACAGCCCAGGAAGACGGCAACCCCAGGAGUUAGGAGAGGCGGGCAGGGGGGCCUCCCCUCGAGCCUCAUGGUGAUGCGGCCCUGCCGACGCCUGGAUCCGGGCUCCUGGCCUCCAGAACCAGGAGAGAAUCAGCCUCUGUUGUAAGCCUCCUGGUUCGUGGUACUUUAUUACAGGAGCCGCUGGAAACUAUACGGUAAGCAGUCAGAGGGUCUCAGUAGACUGCCGGUCCUCGCGGCCACGCUGUGGGACCCCCUGCCCUCUCCCGCUCCUCCCCCUCCACCAUUGACCUCCCUCCUGAGGCCUCAGACCAAGCCGACGACCCUUCCACACCUCACCUAGGAAGGUCAUUCCCACCCUCCAGACUCCUCCUGGACCUACCACGACCCAGCAAUUCACUCCUGGGUACGAAACCGACAGAAACGCAUCCACGCACUCGCCAACGGCUGUACAAACCGCCCCCCGCAGCGCCGCCGGCCCACCCCAAACCAGAGGGUGUCCGGCGCCCAUCAACAGCGGGGUGGAUGAGCUGCGCUGUGUUCUCCCACAGUGAACACCUCGCAGCAGUGGGACCGAAUGAGCCGCGCCUGUGGCCAUCACGUGGACGGAUCUUCAAACACAGCCAGACACGAAAUAGGGCUCCGUUUAUAUGAAAUUCAAAACACAGGGCACAAUGCACCUGAGCCAUCAGAAAUCACGGGACUGGUUGCCCUGGUGGGGGUGGGUGGUGACGGGCAGGAGGGGCGGCCGGUGGAGAACUCUAGAAAGCUGCUGACAUUCUGUUUCUUGGUCUGGGGCUGGUUGUGCCAGUGUGGUCAGCUUGUGGAAAUUUGUCAGGCUAUACCCUGUGAUAGGUACCCUUUCCUGUGACGUAGAUCAUACUUAAAUAAAAGUUAGUUAAAAAAAAAAAAAAGACUCAUUCUGAUAGUCUCCCAUGAGCCUCGAGCUGCCUAAGGGUCCCCUCUAGAUUCCCACGGCAUCUCGUGAAUCCUUCUCAGCCUCCACCUUCUUGAAUUGAAGCUGGAUGUUUGUUUCUGUGGUUUGUUUUCUCGUCUCCCUCCUCUGUGCAUCCCUCGCACCUUGCAUGGGCUCUGGCACACAGCAGGUGCUCCAUAAAUGCUUGCUGAGACUUGCUGGCAUGGCCAAGGGCUUUGGUGUCCUCAGGCUUCCCUCCCAGACUUCCCUGGUCAUCUAUCCGUGUGCCCUACAUGGUCACAGGACUCCACAGUGGGACACACUCCCCAACCUCCUGCUCCCCACUCCUCUGGGUGCAUACCUCCACCCCAGACUCAUGGGGUGGUAGCUCUCCGACCCACCGCCCCGAGACCUUUCUUUGCACAGACCACAGGUCUUAUUCAUCUUGAACCUUCAGAGCCCAGGCAAGUGCCAGACAGCGUGGAGGUUCCAGAACCAGCAGCCUCGAGCGGCCAGAGCCCUGAUGCAUCCGCGCCCAGGGGCAGGCACAUACCUCUGUUCGUCUUAGCUUGUUUCAGACUGGAUGGAAAUUUUCAAAAGAGGUUUUCUUUAAAAAAAAAAAAAAAAA